GACGAACGCUGGCGGCGUGCCUAAUACAUGCAAGUCGAACGCAGUGGGGACGGGUGAGUAACACGUGGGUAACCUCCCAUCAGAGGGGAUAACACUUGGAAACAGGUGCUAAACCGAUACUGCUUGAUCGUCCCGCGUUUCAUUAGCUAGUUGGUGAGGUAACGGCUCCCCAAGGCCACGAUGCAUAGCCCGACUGAGAGUGUGAUCGGCCACACUGGGACUGAGACACGGCCCAGACUCCUACGGUAGGCAGAAGUAGGGAAUCUUCGGCAAAGGGCGAAAGUCUGACCGAGCAAGGCCGCGUGUGUGAAGAAGGUUUUCGGAUCGUAAAGCACUGUUGUUAGAGAAGCGGUAACUAAAGAGAAAGCAACGGCUAACUACGUGCCAGCAGGCGCGGUAAUAG
rnacentral:rRNA from 1 species